GGAUGUGAGGGUGAUCUGGCUGCGACAUCUGUCACCCCAUUUAUCACCAGGGCUGAUUUGGCUGAUCUGGCUGACUAGGUGAGUGUCCCCUUCCUUCCUCACUGCUCCAUGUGUGUCCCUCCCAAAGCUGUGCAUUCGGUUGAAGAAGACAACCUUCCCCAAAUAAAAACAGACCGGUGGAGGGUAUAGGAGUAGCUGCACUCCCCUGCUAGAACUUCCAAAAAAAAAAAAAACUCUCAAAGUAGGUGAGUGGUACAAAUAAAAAGCCAGUCAUCUGGGUCUUGUAGUAAGAGACAUGGUU
rnacentral:snRNA from 1 species